GCUGGCGGCGUGCUUACACAUGCAAGUCGCGUGCGCGGUUCCGUAGCAAUACGGGAUGGGCGCACGGCGCACGGGUGCGUAACACGUGGGCAAUCUGCCCUCCGAUGGGGAAUAACCCCGCGAAAGCGGGGCUAAUACCGCAUAACAUUCCUUGGACUACGGUUUGAGGAUUCAAAGCAGCAAUGCGUCGGAGGAGGAGCCCGCGCCCGAUUAGCUAGUUGGUGAGGUAACGGCUCACCAAGGCAAUGAUCGGUAGCUGGUCUGAGAGGAUGGCCAGCCACACUGGAACUGAGACACGGUCCAGACUCCUACGGGAGGCAGCAGUGGGGAAUCUUGCGCAAUGGGCGAAAGCCUGACGCAGCGACGCCGCGUGGGGGAUGAAGCUUCUCGGAGUGUAAACCCCUUUCGACUGGGACGAAUGCCCGCAAGGGAGUGACGGUACCAGUAGAAGAAGCCCCGGCUAACUACGUGCCAGCAGCCGCGGUAAGACGUAGGGGGCCAGCGUUGUUCGGAAUUACUGGGUGUAAAGGGUUCGUAGGCGGUGUGGCAAGUCGGGAGUGAAAUCUCUGGGCUCAACUCAGAGGCUGCUUCCGAAACUGCUGUGCUU
rnacentral:rRNA from 1 species